rnacentral:rRNA from 1 species
GCUACGGGAGGCAGCAGUGAGGAAUAUUGGUCAAUGGGCGUAAGCCUGAACCAGCCAAGUCGCGUGAGGGAUGAAGGUUCUAUGGAUCGUAAACCUCUUUUAUAAGGGAAUAAAGUGCGGGACGUGUCCCGUUUUGGCUGUACCUUAUGAAUAAGGAUCGGCUAACUCCGUGCCAGCAGCCGCGGUAAUACGGAGGAUCCGAGCGUUAUCCGGCUUUAUUGGGUUUAAAGGGUGCGUAGGCGGCCUUUGAAGUCAGCGGUGAACGCCUGUGGCUCAACCAGAGAAUUGCCGUUGAAAGUGGGGGGCUUGAGUAUGUUUGAGGCAGGCGGAAUGCGUGGUGUAGCGGUGAAAUGCUUAGAUAUCACGCAGAACCCCGAUUGCGAAGGCAGCCUGCCAAGCCAUGACUGACGCUGAUGCACGAAAGCGUGGGGAUCAAACAGGAUUAGAUACCCCUGUAGUC